rnacentral:rRNA from 1 species
AGAGUUUGAUCCUGGCUCAGGAUGAACGCUAGCGGCAGGCUUAACACAUGCAAGUCGAGGGGCAGCGGGGAGGAAGCUUGCUUUCUCCGCCGGCGACCGGCGCACGGGUGAGUAACACGUAUGCAACCUGCCCCUGUCAGGGGGACAACCCGCCGAAAGGCGGGCUAAACCCGCGUACAUGCCACCGGGGCAUCCCGGAGGCAGGAAAGGCUUCGGCCGGACAGGGAUGGGCAUGCGGCGCAUUAGGCAGUAGGCGGGGUAACGGCCCACCUAACCGACGAUGCGUAGGGGUUCUGAGAGGAAGGUCCCCCACACUGGUACUGAGACACGGACCAGACUCCUACGGGAGGCAGCAGUGAGGAAUAUUGGUCAAUGGUCGGGAGACUGAACCAGCCAAGCCGCGUGAGGGAGGAAGGUACAGAGUAUCGUAAACCUCUUUUGUCAGGGAACAAAGACUGGGACGCGUCCCCGGAUGAGUGUACCUGAAGAAAAAGCAUCGGCUAACUCCGUGCCAGCAGCCGCGGUAAUACGGAGGAUGCGAGCGUUAUCCGGAUUUAUUGGGUUUAAAGGGUGCGCAGGCGGUCUGUUAAGUCAGCGGUCAAAGCCCGGGGCUCAACCCCGGCCCGCCGUUGAAACUGGCAGUCUCGAGUUGGAGAGAAGUAUGCGGAAUGCGCGGUGUAGCGGUGAAAUGCAUAGAUAUCGCGCAGAACUCCGAUUGCGAAGGCAGCAUGCCGGCUCCACACUGACGCUGAGGCACGAAAGCGUGGGUAUCGAACAGGAUUAGAUACCCUGGUAGUCCACGCAGUAAACGAUGAAUGCUGGCUGUCCGGGGGGACUGACCCCUGGGUGGCGAAGCGAAAGCGAUAAGCAUUCCACCUGGGGAGUACGCCGGCAACGGUGAAACUCAAAGGAAUUGACGGGGGCCCGCACAAGCGGAGGAACAUGUGGUUUAAUUCGAUGAUACGCGAGGAACCUUACCCGGGCUCAAACGGGGAGUGGCGCAGGCAGAGACGCCUGUUUCCCACGGGACACUCCCCGAGGUGCUGCAUGGUUGUCGUCAGCUCGUGCCGUGAGGUGUCGGCUUAAGUGCCAUAACGAGCGCAACCCCCGCGUGCAGUUGCUAACAGUCAACGCUGAGGACUCUGCACGGACUGCCGGCGCAAGCCGCGAGGAAGGCGGGGAUGACGUCAAAUCAGCACGGCCCUUACGUCCGGGGCGACACACGUGUUACAAUGGGUGGUACAGCGGGAAGCCAGGCGGCGACGCCGAGCGGAACCCGAAAUCCACUCUCAGUUCGGAUCGGAGUCUGCAACCCGACUCCGUGAAGCUGGUUUCGCUAGUAAUCGCGCAUCAGCCAUGGCGCGGUGAAUACGUUCCCGGGCCUUGCACUCACCGCCCGUCA